GAAAUGCGAUAAUUAAUGUGAAUUGCAGAAUUCAGUGAAUCAUCGAGUCUUUGAACGCACAUUGCGCCCCCUGGUAUUCCGGGGGGCAUGCCUGUCCGAGCGUCAUUGCUGCCCUCAAGCACGGCUUGUGUGUUGGGCUUCCGUCCCUGGCAACGGGGACGGGCCCAAAAGGCAGUGGCGGCACCAUGUCUGGUCCUCGAGCGUAUGGGGCUUUGUCACCCGCUCCCGUAGGUCCAACUGGCAGCUAGCCUCGCAACCAAUCUUUUUAACCAGGUUGACCUCGGAUCAGGUAGGGAUACCCGCUGAACUUAAGC
rnacentral:misc_RNA from 1 species